AGUGAACGCUGGCGGUAGGCCUAACACAUGCAAGUCGAACGGCAGCACAGUAAGAGCUUGCUCUUACGGGUGGCGAGUGGCGGACGAGUGCGGAAUACAUCGGAAUCUACUUUUUAGUGGGGGAUAACGUAGGGAAACUUACGCUACUACCGCAUACGAACUACGGGUGAAAGCAAGGGAUCUUCGGACCUUGCGCGACUGAAGGAGCCGAUGUCGGAUUAGCUAGUUGGCGGGGUAAAGGCCCACCAAGGCGACGAUCCGUAGCUGGUCUGAGAGGAUGAUCAGCCACACUGGAACUGAGGCACGGUCCAGACUCCUACGGGAGGCAGCAGUGGGGAAUUUUGGACAAUGGGCGCAAGCCUGAUCCAGCCAUGCCGCGUGGGUGAAGAAGGCCUUCGGGUUGUAAAGCCCUUUUGUUGGGAAAGAAAAGCAGCCUGUUAAUACCCCGCUGUUCUGACGGUACCCAAAGAAUAAGCACCGGCUAACUUCGUG
rnacentral:rRNA from 1 species